AAAAGACUUAGAACAGAUGGCCUUAGAGAAAUAGAGAGAUGUAGAUGGCCUUAGAGAAAGAGAGAGAGAACAGAGAAGGUAAGUUUUACACAAAAGGAGGCUUCUCUCAGACGAAACGAAUAAAAAGAACAAAAAAAAAGCUGAGAAGAAUCCAUAAAAGGUGACAAAAGCAAGAAGGAGAAGCAAACAUAAGAAAAGAAUGGAGGGGACUUAUCAGUAUGCUGCAACAAUGAUGGAGAUCUCAAGAAGAACGUUUUCGUUAGAGAAGAAGAGUAAUUAGUUUCAUUACUCUUCAAAUGUCGUUAAUCAGAUUCAUUUUUUUCUUUUUGUCUUUAAAUUAAUCCUCUUAUUAAACCCAAAAAAAAAAAACUUUGUGUUACGGUUUGGGAAGUAGUGAUAUUGGCGGAAAUGGCUCAAUCUCCUUGUCACAUUAUAUCACUUUCUCUGUUUUUUCUUCUCUUAACUUUUACAUUUUGGAAGUA